GAUGAACGCUGGCGGCGUGCCUAAUACAUGCAAGUCGAGCGAACAGACGAGGAGCUUGCUCCUCUGACGUUAGCGGCGGACGGGUGAGUAACACGUGGAUAACCUACCUAUAAGACUGGGAUAACUUCGGGAAACCGGAGCUAAUACCGGAUAAUAUAUUGAACCGCAUGGUUCAAUAGUGAAAGACGGUUUUGCUGUCACUUAUAGAUGGAUCCGCGCCGCAUUAGCUAGUUGGUAAGGUAACGGCUUACCAAGGCAACGAUGCGUAGCCGACCUGAGAGGGUGAUCGGCCACACUGGAACUGAGACACGGUCCAGACUCUGACGGGAGGCAGCAGUAGGGAAUCUUCCGCAAUGGGCGAAAGCCUGACGGAGCAACGCCGCGUGAGUGAUGAAGGUCUUCGGAUCGUAAAACUCUGUUAUUAGGGAAGAACAAAUGUGUAAGUAACUAUGCACGUCUUGACGGUACCUAAUCAGAAAGCCACGGCUAACUACGU
rnacentral:rRNA from 1 species